rnacentral:rRNA from 1 species
UACGAAGGGGGCAAGCGUUGUUCGGAAUUACUGGGCGUAAAGGGCGCGUAGGCGGCUUAUCAAGUCAGGCGUGAAAUUCCCGGGCUCAACCUGGGGGCUGCGUUUGAUACUGAUGAGCUUGAAUGCGGGAGAGGAUAGUGGAAUUCCCAGUGUAGAGGUGAAAUUCGUAGAUAUUGGGAAGAACACCGGUGGCGAAGGCGGCUAUCUGGCCCGUGAUUGACGCUGAGGCGCGAAAGCGUGGGGAGCAAACAGG